AAAUGCCUAGAAGGAACUAAUAUUUUUCCGACACUUUGAUAUAAGGGAGUUCGGAUGUACUUACGGCAGCGUGAAAACUAGCUACGUGUUAGAAUCCCAAACCAAGAGACAGAACACCCACCUGUAAGAAACAGGGGACAAUAUCAACCUUCUGGGUUUUUU
rnacentral:other from 1 species